AGAGUUUGAUUAUGGCUCACGCCGUUAAAGGGCGGCGUGCUUAACACAUGCAAGUCGAGCGACCCUCUUUUUUAGAACUCUUCGGAGGGAAGAGAGGGUGGCUUAGCGGCGGACGGGUGAGUAACGCGUGGGCAACCUGCCUUACACAGGGGGAUAACAAUUAGAAAUGAUUGCUAAUACCGCAUAAGACCACGGUACUGCAUGGUACAGAGGUAAAAACUGAGGUGGUGUAAGAUGGGCCCGCGUCUGAUUAGGUAGUUGGUGGGGUAGAAGCCUACCAAGCCGACGAUCAGUAGCCGACCUGAGAGGGCGACCGGCCACAUUGGGACUGAGACACGGCCCAAACUCCUACGGGAGGCAGCAGUGGGGAAUAUUGCACAAUGGGGGAAACCCUGAUGCAGCGACGCCGCGUGAGUGAGGAAGUAUUUCGGUAUGUAAAGCUCUAUCAGCAGGGAAGAAAAUGACGGUACCUGACCAAGAAGCCCCGGCUAACUACGUGCCAGCAGCCGCGGUAAUACGUAGGGGGCAAGCGUUAUCCGGAUUCACUGGGCGUAUAGGGAGCGCAGGCGGCACGGUAAGUCUGGUGUGAAAGCCCGGGGCCCAACCCCGGGACUGCAUUGGAAAUUGCCGGGCUGGAGUGCCGGAGGGGUAAGCGGAAUUCCUGGUGUAGCGGUGAAAUGCGCAGAUAUCAGGGAGAACACCGGUGGCGGAAGGGGCUUUACUGGACGGCAACUGACGCUGAAGGCUCGAAAGCGUGGGGAGCAAAAAGGAAUUAAAAACCCUGGUAAUCCCCACCCGUAAAACCAUGGAAUACCAGGUGUCGGCGGGCAAGGGCCCGCCGG
rnacentral:rRNA from 1 species